rnacentral:rRNA from 1 species
GCGAGUCGAGCGUCUUUAGCUAUGUUAAGACGCGGCAGACGGCUCAGUAACACCUGGCUAACCUACCCUCAGGACAGGGACAAACCCGGGAAACUGGGGCUAAUACCCAAUAGGUGAGGGCGCCUGGAAUGGUUCUUCACCCAAAGGACCUUGGAAACAUGCUUCCAAGUCGCCUGGGGAUGGGGCCGCGUCCGAUCAGGUUGUUGGUGAGGUAACGGCUCACCAAGCCUAUAACCGGUACGGGCCGUGAGAGCGGUAGCCCGGAGAUGGGUACUGAGACAAGGACCCAGGCCCUACGGGGCGCAGCAGUCGCGAAAACUCCGCAAUGCACGAAAGUGUGACGGGGCUACCCCGAGUGCCACCCGCUGAGGGUGGCUUUUCUUUGGUAUAAUUAGCCAUUGGAAUAAGGAGAGGGCAAGACUGGUGUCAGCCGCCGCGGUAAUACCAGCUCUCCGAGUGGUAGGGAUGAUUAUUGGGCUUAAAGCGUCCGUAGCCGGCUUAGCAAGUUUCCUGUUAAACUCAGCGACUCAAUCGUUGAAUCGCGGGAAAUACUACUAGGCUAGGAGGCGGGAGAGGUCGACGGUACUUCUGGGGUAGGGGUGAAAUCCUAUAAUCCCGGAAGGACCACCAGUGGCGAAGGCUGUCGACUAGAACGCGCUCGACGGUGAGGGACGAAAGCUGGGGGAGCGAACCGGAUUAGAUACCCGGGUAGUCCCAGCC